rnacentral:rRNA from 1 species
UACAGAGGGUGCAAGCGUUAAUCGGACUUACUGGGCGUAAAGGGCUCGUAGGCGGCCAACUAAGUCGGACGUGAAAUCCCUCGGCUUAACCGGGGAACUGCGUCCGAUACUGGAUGGCUUGAGUUCGGGAGAGGGAUGCGGAAUUCCAGGUGUAGCGGUGAAAUGCGUAGAUAUCGGAAGGAACACCAGUGGCGAAAGCGGCUUCCUGGUCCAGCACCGACGUUCAGGCACGAAAGCGUGGGGAGCAAACAGG